GUGAAUCAUCGAAUCUUUGAACGCAAAUUGCACUCUCUGGCAUUCCGGAGAGUAUGCCUGUUUGAGGGUCAGUUUAAAUAAAAAUCGCGGUGUUGCGGUUGUGUGACCCAUCGUAAUUGGGUUAUCUUUGACCUUUUAAAAAGUUUAAGUGACCUAAAAUUGAUACUUCGUGCAUCUCAGACGUACAUAAGAAUAUUUUUUUAUCCGUUCGGAGUUGCCAACUGUUUAUGAGGUAUGAAUUUGCUGG
rnacentral:misc_RNA from 1 species